CAACAGGGAUUGCCCUAGUAACGGCGAGUGAAGCGGCAACAGCUCAAAUUUGAAAUCUGGCUCUCGGGCCCGAGUUGUAAUUUGUAGAGGAUACUUUUGAUGCGGUGCCUUCCGAGUUCCCUGGAACGGGACGCCAUAGAGGGUGAGAGCCCCGUCUGGUUGGAUGCCAAAUCUCUGUAAAGUUCCUUCAACGAGUCGAGUAGUUUGGGAAUGCUGCUCUAAAUGGGAGGUAUAUGUCUUCUAAAGCUAAAUACCGGCCAGAGACCGAUAGCGCACAAGUAGAGUGAUCGAAAGAUGAAAAGCACUUUGAAAAGAGAGUUAAAAAGUACGUGAAAUUGUUGAAAGGGAAGCGUUUAUGACCAGACUUGGGCUUGGUUAAUCAUCUGGGGUUCUCCCCAGUGCACUUUUCCAGUCCAGGCCAGCAUCAGUUUUCCCCGGGGGAUAAAGGCGGCGGGAAUGUGGCUCUCUUCGGGGAGUGUUAU
rnacentral:rRNA from 2 species